AUGCCACACGACGGCUUCACAUCGACUGAGGAUUGGUGGCUCACCUUUAGGAAAGGGAUCCCUAAGCCAAUGAGACGAAACUUCAACACAAUCACCAUCCUAAUCCACUGGCGGGUUCGGAAGGGGCAUAACGCGAGGAUAUUUGAUUAGACGACCAGUGUUGCAGAGAGGGUCCUUGCUCUUAUUAGAGAGGACAUAGCGACCUGGCAUGCCGCUAGAUGCAUCGCUGACCUAGCAGCAUGA
rnacentral:rRNA from 1 species